CAGGUGCCCUAAGAAUUAUCAAGAUAAACAACUUCUCUGCUUGUCACUACACCUCCUUAGAACAAACUGCCCUUCGGUGACAGGGACAAAUUGAGAGAAAUCGUAACAGACAGAUACAGGCCAGACAGUU
ensembl:snoRNA